rfam:Brassica oleracea var. oleracea cultivar TO1000 chromosome C1, whole genome shotgun sequence
GAGGAUAUGGUGAUGAAACGAAUAAUUUCGUGGACUAGAGUUUCAGAUCUGGGCUCUUCACCCAGAAGUUGAAGAUACAACCCUUGGCUGUCUGAGUAUCUCU